rnacentral:rRNA from 1 species
GUGUCAGCAGCCGCGGUAAUACGUAGGGGGCUAGCGUUGUCCGGAAUCAUUGGGCGUAAAGCGCGCGUAGGCGGCCCGGUAAGUCCGCUGUGAAAGUCCAGGGCUCAACCCUGGAAAGCCGGUGGAUACUGCCGGGCUAGAGUCCGGGAGAGGCGAGUGGAAUUCCUGGUGUAGCGGUGGAAUGCGCAGAUAUCAGGAGGAACACCUAAGGCGAAGGCAGCUCGCUGGAACGGUACUGACGCUGAGGCGCGAAAGCGUGGGGAGCAAACAGGAUUAGAUACCCUGGUAGUCC